UACAGAGGUCCCAAGCGUUGUUCGGAUUCACUGGGCGUAAAGGGUGCGUAGGUGGUGAGGUAAGUCGGAUGUGAGAUCUCCGGGCUCAACCCGGAAAUGGCAUUGGAAACUACCUUGCUGGAGGGUUUGAGGGGGGAUUGGAAUACUUGGUGUAGCAGUGAAAUGCGUAGAUAUCAAGUGGAACACCAGUGGCGAAGGCGAAUCCCUGGAAAAUACCUGACACUGAGGCACGAAAGCUAGGGGAGCAAACAGGAGUUAAGGAACUGACCCGGGUACGUCCCAAGUACCA
rnacentral:rRNA from 1 species